ACGCUGCCGCUGAGGAAAGUCCUGUACUACUAGCCAUGGUCAACCCUACCGUGUUCUUCGACAUUGCCGUCGACGGCGAGCCUUUGGGCCGCGUCUCCUUCUAGCUGUUUGCAGACAAGGUUCCAAAGACAGCAGAAAAUUUUCGUGCUUUGAGCACUGGAGAGAAAGGAUUUGGUUAUAAGGGUUCCUGCUUUCACAGAAUUAUUCCAGGGUUUAUGUGUCAGGGUGGUGACUUCACACGCCAUAAUGGCACUGGUGGCAAGUCCAUCUGCACUGCCAAGACUGAGUGGUUGGAUGGCAAGCAUGUGGUCUUUGGCAAAGUGAAAGAAGGCAUGAAUAUUGUGGAGGCCAUGGAGCGCUUUGGGUCCAGGAAUGGCAAGACCAGCAAGAAGAUCACCAUUGCCGACUGUGGACAACUCGAAUAAGUUUGACUUGUGUUUUAUCUUAACCACCAGACCAUUCCUUCUGUAGCUCAGGAGAGCACCCCUCCACCCCAUUUGCUCGCAGUAUCCUAGAAUCUUUGUGCUCUCGCUGCAGUUCCCUUUGGGUUCCAAGUUUUCCUUGUUCUCUCCCAUGCCUAGCUGGAUUGCAGAGUUAAGUUUAUGAUUAUGAAAUAAAAACUAAGUAACAAUU